rnacentral:rRNA from 1 species
CCUACGGGAGGCAGCAGUGAGGAAUAUUGGUCAAUGGACGCAAGUCUGAACCAGCCAUGCCGCGUGCAGGAAGACGGCUCUAUGAGUUGUAAACUGCUUUUGUACGAGGGUAAACGCAGAUACGCGUAUCUGUCUGAAAGUAUCGUACGAAUAAGGAUCGGCUAACUCCGUGCCAGCAGCCGCGGUAAUACGGAGGAUUCAAGCGUUAUCCGGAUUUAUUGGGUUUAAAGGGUGCGUAGGCGGUCGGAUAAGUUAGAGGUGAAAUCCCGAGGCUCAACUUCGGAAUUGCCUCUGAUACUGUUCGGCUGGAGCUUAGUUGCGGUAGGCGGAAUGUGUGGUGUAGCGGUGAAAUGCUGAGAGAUCAUGAAGAACACCGAUUGCGAAGGCAGCUUACCAAGCUACUUCUGACGUUGAGGCACGAAAGCGUGGGGAGCAAACAGGAUUAGAUACCCCGGUAGUC